rnacentral:rRNA from 1 species
AAUGAACGUUGGCGGCGUGGAUUAGGCAUGCAAGUCGUGCGCGAAUCGUAGCAAUACGAGGAGAGCGGCGAAAGGGAGAGGAUAGCAUAGAUACCUACCCUCGGACCUGGGAUAGCUAUGGGAAACUAUAGGUAAUACCAGAUAAUGUCUCCGGACCAAAGGUGUGAUUCCGUCCGGGGAGGGGUCUAUGUCCUAUUAGCUUGUUGGUGAGGUAACGGCUCACCAAGGCAAAGAUGGGUACGAGGCGUGAGAGCGUGUCCUCGCUCACUGGGACUGAGACACUGCCCAGACACCUACGGGUGGCUGCAGUCGAGAAUCUUCGGCAAUGGGCGCAAGCCUGACCGAGCGACGCCGCGUGUGGGAUGAAGGCCUUCGGGUUGUAAACCACUGUCAGUGCGGAGGAAAUAUAGUGGGGUUCUCCCCAUUAUUUGACCUAUGCGCAGAGGAAGGACGGGCUAAGUUCGUGCCAGCAGCCGCCGUAA